UCAAGGGUGAUCAAUGGAAACAGGAUGCACCCGAGUGAAAUAAGGCCUGUGCAUGCUGACUGGACGAGGGGAGGCCAAGAGAGGGACUGUAGUUGGCUGCUCGGUGCCCAGUCAUAUUUUCCUGCAGAGAGCUUUCAUGAUCCAAGACGCCUCUGAGGAGCUGGCUGAGUGUGGGAACAGCAUCACGAUCAUACAGGGGAGUAGACAGAGACGGGAAGGCCUCCACAAACACUUUGUUCUGAAAGAUGGAAAUAAUGAAAAAUGAA